GACGAACGCUGGCGGCGCGCUUAACACAUGCAAGCCGAGCGGGAACCGGGCCUUCGGGCCCGUGGACAGCGGCGAACGGGUGAGUAACACGUGGGUAAUCUGCCCUCGGUACUGGGAUAGCCCGGGGAAACCCGGACUAAUACCGGACAGCCCUUCGAGCCUUCUGGACCGCCGGACAAGGUGGCUUCGGCGCCAGACAGAGGAUGCGCCCGGGGCGGAUUAGCUUGUUGGUGGGGUAACGGCCUACCAAGGCGACGAUCCGUAGCUGGUCUGAGAGGACGACCAGCCACACUGGGACUGAGACACGGCCCAGACUCCUACGGGAGGCAGCAGUGGGGAAUCUUGCCCAAUGGGCGAAAGCCUGAGGCAGCGACGCCGCGUGCGGGAAGAAGGCCCUCGGGUUGUAAACCGCUUUCAGGAGGGACGAAGCCACUCGGGUUAAUAGCCCAGAGGGUGACGGUACCUCCAGAAGAAGCCCCGGCUAACUACGUGCCAGCCGCCGCGGUAAGAC
rnacentral:rRNA from 1 species